UACGGAGGGUGCAAGCGUUAAUCGGAAUUACUGGGCGUAAAGCGCACGUAGGUGGUUUGUUAAGCCAGCUGUGAAAUCCCCGGGCUCAACCUGGGACUUGCAGUUGGAACUGGCGAGCUAGAGUAGGGUAGAGGGGUGUGGAAUUCCAGGUGUAGCGGUGAAAUGCGUAGAUAUCUGGAGGAACAUCAGUGGCGAAGGCGACACCCUGGACUCAUACUGACGCUCAGGCGCGAUAGCGUGGGGAUCAAACAGG
rnacentral:rRNA from 1 species